AACGUCGUGAGACAGUUCGGUCCCUAUCCGUCGUGGGCGUAGGAAAUUUGAGAGGAGCUGUCCUUAGUACGAGAGGACCGGGAUGGACAUACCUCUGGUGUACCAGUUGUCGUGCCAACGGCAUAGCUGGGUAGCUAUGUAUGGACGGGAUAAGUGCUGAAAGCAUCUAAGCAUGAAGCCCCCCUCAAGAUGAGAUUUCCCAACUUCGGUUAUAAGAUCCCUCGAAGAUGACGAGGUUAAUAGGUUCGAGGUGGAAGCGUGGUGACACGUGGAGCUGACGAAUACUAAUCGAUCGAAGACUUAAUCAA
rnacentral:rRNA from 1 species